GACGAACGCUGGCGGCGUGCCUAAUACAUGCAAGUGGGACGCAAGGGAACACACUGUGCUUGCACACCGUGUUUUCUUGAGUCGCGAACGGGUGAGUAACGCGUAGGUAACCUGCCUAUUAGCGGGGGAUAACUAUUGGAAACGAUAGCUAAUACCGCAUAAUAUUAAUUAUUGCAUGAUAAUUGAUUGAAAGAUGCAAGCGCAUCACUAGUAGAUGGACCUGCGUUGUAUUAGCUAGUUGGUAAGGUAAGAGCUUACCAAGGCGACGAUACAUAGCCGACCUGAGAGGGUGAUCGGCCACACUGGGACUGAGACACGGCCCAGACUCCUACGGGAGGCAGCAGUAGGGAAUCUUCGGCAAUGGACGAAAGUCUGACCGAGCAACGCCGCGUGAGUGAAGAAGGUUUUCGGAUCGUAAAGCUCUGUUGUAAGUCAAGAACGUGUGUGAGAGUGGAUAGUUCACACAG
rnacentral:rRNA from 1 species